rnacentral:rRNA from 1 species
ACUCCUACGGGAGGCAGCAGUAGGGAAUCUUCCACAAUGGACGCAAGUCUGAUGGAGCAACGCCGCGUGAGUGAAGAAGGGUUUCGGCUCGUAAAGCUCUGUUGUUAAAGAAGAACGUGGGUGAGAGUAACUGUUCACCCAGUGACGGUAUUUAACCAGAAAGCCACGGCUAACUACGUGCCAGCAGCCGCGGUAAUACGUAGGUGGCAAGCGUUAUCCGGAUUUAUUGGGCGUAAAGCGAGCGCAGGCGGUCUUUUAAGUCUAAUGUGAAAGCCUUCGGCUCAACCGAAGAAGUGCAUUGGAAACUGGGAGACUUGAGUGCAGAAGAGGACAGUGGAACUCCAUGUGUAGCGGUGAAAUGCGUAGAUAUAUGGAAGAACACCGGUGGCGAAGGCGGCUGUCUGGUCUGUAACUGACGCUGAGGCUCGAAAGCAUGGGUAGCGAACAGGAUUAGAUACCCUGGUAGGAUAGCG